rnacentral:misc_RNA from 1 species
ACUUUACUGGUUGUUGAUGAGAAGACAGAUAUUUCGUACAAUAUAGCUGCAGAGGCAGCAGGGGGCCUGGUGUCCGCCAGAGACUUCAUUAACCUUCGUCACUGGGGGGAGCGGGACCAGACCUUUUUUAUUGCUGUGAACAAGGCCACAUUUCCUGACAUGCCUCCACAGAAAAAAUAUGUCAGGGGUGAAAGUGGUCCCUGUGGACUGGUGUUUAAUCGGGUCACUGGACAGCCUAACAGAUGUAAACUACAGUGGUUCCUUAAUACUAAUUUAAAGGGCUGGAUACCCCAGGCUGUUAUAGACCAGGGCCUGACCGGUGUGUUGAUGGAUUACUGUAAAUAUCUCAGGCAACACAUACAGGAAAUCAAGGGGAGAUCAUUCAGUUAAUGAUACAAACAAGCAUUCUUACAAACAACUGUGAUGCAUGGGAUUUAAAUGUUUUGCUAGUGUAUUUUAAAGAUAGAAACAUCCAUCUUGUUUAUUUUUUAAAAACAGAAUUACAUUUUAAGUUCAGUUUUCAUGAACAUUAUUGUGAUUUUUAAUCCAAAGAGUGACAAACAAUGCUAAGUUUGUGUGAAGAAGUGUGUUGUUUGUGUCCUUUCAUUUCAAUCUUGUGCAAUUUUUGAAUCAGUGUACUGUUAAAUUCUUUUUGGAUAGAUAAAUUCAUUUUUAUCAUCAAUUGUUCAACUGCGUUACAAUAGUUUAUUCAAGUAAUGGUAUCUUAUUUAUUUCAUGCAAUUUUACUUCUCUUAUAUCAAUUCUGUGCAAUCCUUAAAAUUGCAAAACUGUACACCAAAUGCUUUAUGAGAUUGGUUUGUGUUAUUCUAUCUUUAGUAUCGAUAAUUUGAUACACCCAGUAUAUGUGACAUUUCAUGCGUGUGAUUGAACUUAGUAUUUGUUUAUGAUGGAGUAAAUAUUUUUUGUAACUUUCUGAUCUAUAAAUCAUUAUGAUUUUAUACAUGUACAUAUAAUCAUGUAUUAUAUAUAUUAUGGCAGUUGAUGCCGGCUGGAAGAUGCAUACCAGUAAUUUAUACAUCAAUUAAUCAUGAUUCAAUAUUUUAGUUUUUGAUUAGGCAAAAACAAUUGCCUUAAGUUUUUCAGGCCAAAAGUUUCGAAAUAAAAUGUGGCAGGCUUGCAUUUUGAAUUAAAAAGGAGAACAAUUCAGUUUUCAUUUUUAUAGAC